UACGUAGGGUGCAAGCGUUUGUCCGGAAUUAUUGGGCGUAAAGAGCUCGUAGGCGGUUUGUCGCGUCUGCUGUGAAAAUCCGGGGCUCAACCCCGGACUUGCAGUGGGUACGGGCAGACUGGAGUGUGGUAGGGGAGACUGGAAUUCCUGGUGUAGCGGUGGAAUGCGCAGAUAUCAGGAGGAACACCGGUGGCGAAGGCGGGUCUCUGGGCCGAUACUGACGCUGAGGAGCGAAAGCAUGGGUAGCGAACAGG
rnacentral:rRNA from 1 species